GUGUGUUAUGAACCAGACGAUAAGCAGCUCCUCCCAAUGUAGGACCAGAUAUUGCCCCGGAUACUUGUGGCCUGUGAAACAGAAGCAAUCAAAGAAGUGCUAUAAUUCCAUUCUAGUGUAAUAAAUGACCCACCGUUUUCAAGCAAGGUAACAAUUUACUAUUUACUAGUUCCAGAGCUUAGUGUAAACCAACAAUGACCACAGAAUUCCCAAUCUGCUGUAAGCUGAAUAUCAAAUUCUGGAAUUGGUAGGUCAACAAUUUAAGAUAUUAAAAUUUUUAAUAUUCCCAAAGGACUGUGCAGGAGAGACGUUUGACACUAUCUGUGUAAAUUCUAUUACCUUUCUAUGCCUAGCAUACGCCUGCCACCAUUGUCUUCAUGCCAUAGUAUAGGGAAUGGUUUUAUGUCAGUAGGUCUCACAACCUGCAGGUAAAAUAUAAGGGACGACAUGAGAGUAAAGCUAAAGAAACUUUUAUCACUAGUGGAGGAAGAAUAUCGUAUUGGGAGCUCUAAAAAUAAGCCUGCCACCAUUAUCUACAAGAUUAUCUUUAGUCAAGGAAGAAUAUCUUAUUGGGGGCUCUAAAAACUUAUUUUAUUUGCUUGCAAAGUGGUCCAACUUACAAAUUCAGGUAUGACCAUCCUAAGAGCAUAUUAUGAUUGCUAGCUUAAAAGGGCCUAACAAUAUAUUCUCUUGCAUCUUCCACAAAAAACAUGUUGCUAACAAUUAGAGUAGCUAAAAAUUUGCAUACCUUUUCAGGUAGGACUGCACCUUUAGGAGGUUCCGGGAUGUGUGCAUGUGGAACUGGAUAAAGAUAAGUAAUGUUUCUGCAAAAGAAUUGUACAACAUCUUGAGGAAUUCAACGAUUA
rnacentral:lncRNA from 1 species